rnacentral:rRNA from 1 species
GAUGAACGCUGGCGGCGUGCCUAAUACAUGCAAGUCGAGCGAACGGACGAGAAGCUUGCUUCUCUGAUGUUAGCGGCGGACGGGUGAGUAACACGUGGAUAACCUACCUAUAAGACUGGGAUAACUUCGGGAAACCGGAGCUACUACCGGAUAAUAUUUUGAACCGCAUGGUUCAAAGGUAAAAGACGGUCUUGCUGUAACUUAUAGCUGGAUCCGCGCUGCAUUAGCUAGUUGGUAAGGUAACGGCUUACCAAGGCAACGAUGCAUAGCCGACCUGGGAGGGUGAUCGGCCACACUGGAACUGAGACACGGUCCAGACUCCUACGGGAGGCAGCAGUAGGGAAUCUUCCGCAAUGGGCGAAAGCCUGACGGAGCAACGCCGCGUGAGUGAUGAAGGUCUUCGGAUCGUAAAACUCUGUUAUUAGGGAAGAACAUAUGUGUAAGUAACUGUGCACAUCGUGACGGUACCUAAUCAGAAAGCCACGGCUAACUACGUG